rnacentral:rRNA from 1 species
UACGUAGGGUGCGAGCGUUUGUCCGGAAUUACUGGGCGUAAAGAGCUCGUAGGUGGUUUGUCGCGUUGUUCGUGAAAUCUCACGGCUUAACUGUGAGCGUGCGGGCGAUACGGGCAGACUGGAGUACUGCAGGGGAGACUGGAAUUCCUGGUGUAGCGGUGGAAUGCGCAGAUAUCAGGAGGAACACCGGUGGCGAAGGCGGGUCUCUGGGCCGAUACUGACGCUGAGGAGCGAAAGCGUGGGGAGCGAACAGG